CAUAACAAAUUUGCAUAAGUGGUGUGUGAAAGCAUUGUAAUUAGUCUAUUCAAAACAGUUACAAUAUAUGGAUAUAGUAUUAGCGUUCUGGUCACCAAUCAUUCUCCAUGUUAACUCCUGGACUAUGUAAGUCUUAAAAUGAAUACUACUUGAAAAUGGAGGAAGGCACAUCACUUUGGGAAGAAUGCAACCCAGUUUUAGAAUGCUGUAAUAAAGAGCUGGACAAACAAGAAAUUAUGACUGUGGAAUGGCCAAGGAACCCUCAGCACAAAGGCUACACUGGAGUGGUGACAAGACGGCCCCAAUCAGAGUGCAAUAUAGAGGUUCCUGCAAAGUGCAAUUUCCAGUAAAAUCAUGGUGAAAACCUCAACUGCUUCAUUUAAAGAGCAGCUUUCUGCCGGACUAUGCUGCACUGCAGUAACUCAUCAAAUAUAUUUCAACAGUGCGUCCUUCACUAUGACCUCUACCAUCUAAAAGGACAAGAGCAGCAAUAUUAUCAGAGUGCUAUCAUCAUCAAGUUCCUCUCAGAGUCACAGAUAAUGCCGAGUGGAUAUAAAUUGCUUUCCUUGACCAGUGCUGAGUCAAGAUCCUGAAAUUCUUCAUUUAAUACCACUGUGGGAAAUUUUUCAUCAAAUGGAUUACAUCAGUUCAAGAUAAAAGCCAACUUGGGAAACUAGACAGUAAGACCUUAAGAUGUAAAAGCAGAAGUAGGCCAUUCAGCCCAUUGAGUUUACUCCACCAUUCAAUGAAAUCACAGAUCAUCUGAUAAUCCGCAACUUCAUUUUCCUGCCUAAUCCCUAUAACCCUUGAUUUCAUUAUUGAUUACAAAUCUAGAUAUCUCAGCCUUGAAUAUACUUAAUGACCAAGCCUUGAUAAAUGGUGGCAAUAAAGAAUUCCAGACUCACUACCCUCUGAUAGGAGAAAUUCCUCCUCAUUUUUGCCUUAAAUGGGCAACCCCCACCCCCCCCCCCAACCAUUCUGGAAUUAUGCCCUCUAAUUAUGCCUAGACUCUUCCACAAGGGGAAACAACCUCUCCACAUUUGCAUUGGUCAAGCUCUCUAAGAAUGCUAUGUUUCAGUACUUUCCUCUCAUACUUUUAAACUCCGAUUAGCCUAACCUACUCAACUGUACUGCAUAAGAAAAUCCCUCCCUACCCAAAAUAACCUACUCAACUGUACUGCAUAAGAAAAUCCCUUCCUACCCAAAAUAAACCAAGUGAACUUUGUCUUGACUGCCUCUAAUUCCAGUAUAUCUUUCCUUAGAUAAGUGAAUUAAAGCUAUUUACUGUAUUCCAGGCGUGGUCUGACCACUGCCUUCUAUAAUUUAGCAAGACUUAACAACUGUUAUACUCCACUCCCUUUGAAAUAAAGGCCAAUAGUCCAUUUGCCUUAUCCAUUACCUUCUAAAUUUGCAGUUAUUCUUCUAUUCUUCCAGCCAAAGUGCAAAAUCUCAAAUUUUCCUGUGUUAUAUUCCAUCUGCCAAGUUUUUGUCCACUCACUUAGCUUGUUCAGUUGCCUCCAGAACCCUUUGCAUAAUCCUCCCUACUUGCAUUCCUGACUUUUUGUGCCAUGUACAAACCUGGCAAUAGUAUAUUCACUUCCUUCGUACAAGUCAUUAAUAUAUGUUGUAUAUUAACGAUACUAAUCCCUGAAGCACUUCACUAGUGACAGCGUGCUAUCCCAAAAAUGUUCCUAUUAUCUCAAUUGUGCUUCUUAAUUAGUUUGCCAAUCCUUUACACAUCUUAACAUAUUACCUCAAACACUCAUUAAAUAGCAUAUGUACUGUACAAAUGCAUUUCAGAAUGAGCAACAAACAUAUUUUUUCAACUGUUGCCUGUAUUCUGAAAAGCAAUGAGAAAAUGCAUGAAAUGGGAGAAAAUCAGUUAUGUAAGUAAUGGCAUAUUUUGAUUACGUGCUUGUUGUAGAUUUUUUUUUGCAAUGGAAGAACUUUGCUUAUAUGUAUUGUCUGUAAUGUUUUGGGAAUACCCCAGCAUGUCUCACAGUAAAUGAGGUACCUUUUCAAGUGCCGUUACAAUUGUACUGAAAGACAAAAAAGCAGUCAAUUUGUACAUAGUGAGGUCUGAGAAGAUUUGCAGCUCAGGUUGAGGUUCUGGAUGUGAGUUUGCUCGCGGAGCUGUAAGGUUAGUUUUCAGAUGUUUCGUCACCAUUCUAGGUAACAUCAACAAUGAGCCUCCGACGAAGCGACAAAACCUAAACAGAUAAAUAGAAAGCGGGACAUAACACCAGCACUUCA